GUCACACUGCUAUAAUACCCUAAAACAUAGGCCCUUCAAAUCCAUCUUCGAAAAUUCUAACUAUAGAAACUGAAAGAGCCUUGUCUCUUAUAUGGUAUUGUAGCUUUACAGAAAAGUGCCAAAGGCAUUUAAUUGGGGUAUUUUUAUACUCAGCAAAUGUACCUGAACACAAUAUGGGGUUCUGUGUAGAAAUAGCACACACC